rnacentral:rRNA from 1 species
UACGUAGGGUGCAAGCGUUGUCCGGAAUUAUUGGGCGUAAAGAGCUCGUAGGCGGUUCGUCGCGUCGGCUGUGAAAAACCCGGAGCUCAACUCCGGGCCUGCAGUCGAUACGGGCGGACUAGAGUUCGGCAGGGGAGACUGGAAUUCCUGGUGUAGCGGUGAAAUGCGCAGAUAUCAGGAGGAACACCGGUGGCGAAGGCGGGUCUCUGGGCCGAUACUGACGCUGAGGAGCGAAAGCGUGGGAGCGAACAGG